UCAGAGAUUAGACACUGUAUUUAAUUUUUCAGCUUCUUUCAGGUCCUUUGAAAUUCUUAGGAAAGUAGCAUCUGAUCUUCGUGAUUUGUUAUCAGUCCUCUUAUAGAUUUUGGUGAAGCUCUUCCAGCAAGGGUUGAACAUUGUCACAAACCUGAUGCUUGCAGCUUGAAUGGAAUGAUCUAAAUUACUGCCAGAAUUUUUUGAAAUGAAAAGAAAAUUCCUCAGAAAGACUAUGGUAUCAAAAAUGAUGUUGCUGAAAAAGAAUCCGGAGCCUGGAGUAGGUAUGUGACUCAAAAGCACUUUGUAGGUAAGUCACCUGUCAGGUAUCUGCAGGUCAUUGCUCCUGAUGUUGCAUUUCUGACUUUAUCUCUUUGUCUCAGUAAAGCUUUCAGUCACAUGGUUGUUUUGUCCCUGUCCAACGAAGCAUCUACAGAAACGUUGCAACCUCACAGAGUGGCUGCAAAUAAAGCAAAUAAACCACAAGGGUUUUUUCUAGUCGUGCCUUCAAGAAGCUUUGCUGUAAUCAGCAAAAAGAGCUGAGUGGAGAGGUUUGCUUCCAGUCUUUUGGUGUCUGUAGUUACAGCUCGAGUUCCUCUGGGUGUGGAUAGGGUGAGAGUGAGUGGAAUUCCCAUUUCCCAAAUGGGACUGGAGUCACGUUCUCCAGACAGUGCCUGUGCCAUUCGCUGUGCAGGCAGGGGAUGGUGCUGUUGUUCCAAAUAACCUUGUCAUGGUGCUGCUCAAGAUUUCACUUCUCUCUUGAAUCACUUGCUUAACAUUUUGGGGUUUUUUUGUACCUCUUUCAGAUGGCUUUCCUCAACCUAAAGCAUGAGUCAGAUCAGACAAUUGAAUUUUUUGUUAUUAUAUUUUCAGGAUCCUUUAAUAUAAUUUUUUGUGCACUAUGAAAUGAGAGAGACUAGUGAACUUUAUUGGAAACAGAAGCUGGGUUUACACACAUGACAUUUUUAUUAAUGUUAAGCAUUUCCCUUCUGCAGUCUGAGCACAGCCAACCUCCAGUAUUCCACCCCAGUCUCAGUUAGGAAAAAUUAGAAAAUCUGUUUUUGUUAAACUCAUGCAUUUACAACUUGUGAGUUUAGUGGAACAGAUUUUGCUGUGCCAGUAUUAUUUCAUAUACAGAGAUUUCUCACCUGCAGUCCCUGAAUUAUUACCAUGUUUUAGUGAGCCUGGGAGGUUAUUUCAUAUCAUUCAAGCAACAGCAUGACUGCCCUGCACUGUGUAAAGAAAUGGAAAGGCUGUGGAGGAUCUGAUAUUUUAGGAAGUAACUGUGUAAUUAGCAGGAAAAACUCAUCACUCAAAUGGAGCAGAAAGGACAGGAAAGAUGAUAUUUUUAAUUUUUUUUUUUUAUUUCAACCAGUUGUGUAUGAUGGGAUAACAAACUGAGAGCAGGAAAGAGGAAGGAUGGUGUAAGACACUAAUCUAGUCUGCUACUACAAGAGGAAAGGGCCAGAGUAAUCUUCCAUUGGUGUCCGUGGGAAGUGGGCUCAUCAAUCCUCUCGGAUCUAGAGUAUACGCACAUAGAAUUCCAUCCACAGAGUAGUCUCAUGGUUUUAACUUUUGGCUACUUCUAGCCUUAAUUUCAGUAGGUAGCACAAUGGUGAAACAAGAGGUCCUGGUCUUGGUCUUUCUUUUACACACACCUAUGAAGGAAAAAAGUCCCACCUACACUGGUUGGCUUUUUAUUUCUGCACACUUUGCAGUAAAUGUGCUUCCCUCGUACCCUUCCUAUUCUCAAAGCCUCCUUCAAUAACAGGCUACAAGCUGCACAUAAUGAGGCCUAAAAGGCACAACAGUGCCUCUGAAAUCCAGUGAAAAUGUCAUUGAAGCCUUACUCUGUGUAUUCAGCACAUGUUGUGUUCUUUCGUGCUGACUGCUUUGUCUUUGUAUGCAGAAAUAUUAAAUCAGGGAAUUUACUCUGGAUGCCUCUAAAACUUCAUUAGUUAUUUUGCCUGUUUAUCUGUGCUCAUCCUUCUGGCACUUUAUGUUUACUUUCAGAAAACAAUUCUCUGAUGAUAAGGAUGAAUGGAGGAAAUUAAGAGUUUAUAGAUCAUGAUUGUGCUGGCACCAAGUGACUAUGAAUGCUAAAAUAAAGGGAAAAGAAGUACAUUCAUUUUUGGUGUGUUUCAGCAAUGGCAGCUUAGUGUUUAAAACCGACUUUCCACUGUUGCCAUCCACUGCUGCUAACAAAGAAGUGAGCCAGUGUUCAGUCACAGCUUACACUUCUAUUGUAUUCACCAUCUUAGCAGCAGUGCUUGCAUUAUAUAUUACAUGCAGACCCCCAUGUGGGCUUCACUUGAAACAGGUCUCUCCCAGGUUGUUCCUUACUGGACACAGCCAAAAUUUUCCUUUAAUGAUGAUACAGACAUGGUAUCAGAUGAUACAGACUUGGAAGGAAGAAUGAGGCUGGUUUUUUUGCUCCUGUGGGAUUUUUUUACCUACACUCCCUCUCCUUUUCCUUCAUGCUUUAUGUUAACAGGAUCUAUAAAAUGUUUUGAAAUAUUAUCUCCAGGUAAUGUAACUUGCUGCUCCAUGAAGAGCAUCACAGUGAUUCUCCCACACAGCUGGUAUAAAACAUCUGUUAACCUUAAGGGUAUAAUACAGCAACCACCCUGUAGUGCCAUUUACAGUGGGUAAAAACACACUGCCAUCCAUCAAAGACAUCCUCUGGCUACAGGAAACAAAACCCAGGCAAAAUGAUUGCCUGAUUAUUUAACCUGUUUACUUUGUGGUUUGCCUUGGCUCAGGACCCACUGUGUCACCUCCACUCGAGGCUGAUGGAUCGUGAUGUGUAUUUAUCUGAAGCCUCCUGCUGUUUGUCUCAGUCUGUCUUACUGGGCUCUUGUGUUGCAGGGUGGGAUCCAAGCAGCCCUCACAGCACUCAUGGCUCAGGUUAAUGCCACAUUUACACGAAAGGUCCCUCCUCACAGUUUGCUUCAGUGCUUGUGCAGGCAGACCCCUGAUGUUACUGUGACCUGUGAGCUGCUCAGGGACUGGGAGUUGACUGGUGGGAAGAAGGGAGAAGACUUGCAAUUGAUGCAUGACCAGGAGAAGAGGAGAGUCAUUUACUGCUCUCAGACUAGAAGGGCCCCCCAGCAACACUGCCAGGUAGGAAGCUUGGAAACAAAAUGAAAGGAAAAGUGCGUCACGACGUGAUUAAAUUAUAGACCCUGCUGUUACAUGGCACUAUGGAGACCGUGACUACAAGUGACACUGGUAAGAUAAAAAGACCAGUUCAUGCAAACAGGUUCUUCGGUGGGUUUUACAGCAGAUACAGUGUGUAGCUCACACUGUUCCCAGCUGCUUUUUCUGGGAUGUAGCAGGGAGCGCUGUCGCUGCUGACAACCAGUUCUUGGAUUAAAUUGCCCACCCUCUGAGACAGGUACCAGGUUUUAUUUUUCCCCUCAUAAUGCUUGGCUUGCAAUUAAUUUAUCUUCCCCUUGACUGCCUGCUAAGAAAUGUGUUAAAAAUGUUAAAAUAUUCCUAUAAGACUUUCUCCACACAAGAAAGUGCUGCAUUAUAAGGUUGUUAAUUUAUAGCCUCUGGGGAGUGACCUUGAUGAAUUCCGAGCUGAGCUGAAGUGAUUCAGAGGAGACAACAGUCUGGAAGGAGUGUUGGAGAUGUGGCUGUUCCUGCCUUGGGGAGGGGAGAAGAGAGGACAGUGUUUCUCAACCUAUUUUAGUUGAAGACUCACCUAAACCUAUUUGAAAAACAAAUCAACAAAAAUGAAGGAAAGCUUGGAACAUGCACCUGUUUUUCCCUGAUCCUCUCCCAUUUCAUUCAUUCACAUGAGGUUUGUGUGUGUGUGUGUAGGUGAACAAGACCUUUCUAGUAAGUGCUUGCAAUGGUUUGUUAGACUGUGUUCUUAAGGAGUUUUGUUUUCAGCAGAUUCCUGCCAGUUCCUAGUCUUGGAAAUGAUGGAUGGGGAGAGGCUUCCCGGGCUUGCACUUGCCUGGAGCAAUGCCAAGCCGACGGACAGCGAAGAUCUGACAUAAGAGAAGCAGGCUUUUACCGAGACAUAGAGAGUCGUAAGGGAAGUUGACAUGUGAGGAUUCAAAUCAGCAUAUAUACAUGAACUAAAUCCACCUUCUUCUGCCUCAUGUUUUCCCUUGGACUCCUUUGACACACUCAGCGUGACUGAAGCAUUGCUGAUCGUAAUUGCCAGACUCCCUGAAUUCCUGUGGAAUUUACUGCCAGCCACAGAUGAUCAAAAAGCCUGGCCAUCCCCAUCCCUUCUGCUUUGUAAGAAUCCUCACUGUUGGGACCUGGCAGUGCCCAUCUAUCCAUUGGUCACCUCCAGCUGCAUUACUGGAUCUCGCUGUGCACUGAAAUAGCUUGGCUGUCAUUAACUUGAGGAUAUGGAAGACAGAGAAAUCAGAAAAUGACACUUUCAUCCUAAACACAGGCAAAGUUCAGCUGUGUCAUAUAAAAUCAGUGAUAACUGAGAAAGGUGCUUCCAUGUGCAGUGACCCUUUCCUGCUCCCUCUCUCCUCUGUCCCAUGUUCCUCCACCCCUCCGUGUCCCACCAGUUGUCAAUGAUAAGAUAUAAUGUUUACCAUCUCUAUUUUCUGAUCUGGGUCAAAUUUGUAUUUUUUGUUGCUGUGGUAUUUAAUAUUUUGACGCAAUGGACUUAACAGUAACCUAGAACUCUAAACACUGUCUCUCAGAACUGUGAGUAUAGUUAGAAAAGCUGGAGCAAGAAGGAAUAUUGCCUCAAGGAUUUGAUGAUUACUGUAUUUAAUUACACCAUUGUCAGCUUGAAAAUAGAAAGUAUAACCAGGCAAAUUUGUGGGUUGCUUGGUGGGUUUUUUUUAAGAAACAACCAUGUUCACUUCACCAGCUUCUGUCACUCAGUGUUAUUCUGUUAGACUUCUAUUCUCAUUCUCUGUAUCAUUCAUUCCUAAGCUGAGGGGUUUUGCACAUGAGAAAAAACUCUGUACCAUUAAUCAUCCUUCUCUGUGCCUUCUCCAGUUUGGCUGGAUUGGUUUCAAACUGAGAGGAAUCAGAAGUGCUCCUCGUGUUCAACACAUUGGCAAAGGCUGAGGCAUUGGUGUGACCAGAUUCUUCCAAUUCAGUUGGAGAAGGAUGAUGAUCUUCAGGCUUGAUUGAAAAAAUGUUCAUUUACCCAAUAAAGGGCUGGAACCAUGCAUGGAGCCAUGGUCAAAACCCUCCUUGGAAAAGAGCAAAGUUCUCUGCCACUGAGUCCUUCAUAGGCUGAAUAUCUCUGGAAUUUUUCUUUCCACAUAAAAUGACCUAGAAGUUCAUGGUGAGCAGUAUAACAGUAGCUGUAAAAUAUGAAGUGGCAAAGGUUUGAUUCAUGGCUCUAUUUUUCUUACCUCUGUUACAUUCAGGAGAAAACUCCUUAGAUUUAUUUCAUGGUGUUCACUUUGUAAACCACUCACAUUCUUACAAAACAAAGACCACAGUGUCUCUGAAUACAUUUCUGUAAUGGGAAAAAUGAAUGGUGCCAAAAAUGCCUAUUGAUGCUGACACUCUUUGAAGACCAGAUUGUUCCAUUGCACUUCAGGUAAUUUAAGAUUCCCAGAAUUUCUUACACAAUUUAAUGCUUUUUCUCACUUCCUUGACCUCUUUUAUCCUUGAAUUACACUGAGGAAGUUACUGCUUCUGCAAAUAACACUUGUCUUAUUGACGGUGUAGGUAACUAUAAAAGCUUCCUGUAGCUUUUAUAUUCCUGUUUUAUAUUGCUAUAAUACCACCCCAAUGCAUAAAAUUGUCCAAAAUUCUGGUCUCUGGUGAUUGCAUCUACCUAUGGGAACAUUUUAUUGUUUCAGCCUAACGCUGAGAUUCUGUUAUUAACAAUGAAAAUCCUACAUUUCUUUUUCUAGUUGAUCAUGGCAUUUGGUUAUUCAAUAAUUUAAUAAUAUUUUUAAU